rnacentral:lncRNA from 1 species
UUCAAACACACGAAAUUACCUUUAAAAAAUCCUUCUACAAGUUUGCUCCCUAAUUCAGCUCUCCGAUCUCCUAAAGAACCCUUGAGUCGCCGUCAGAGCGCAGUUUUGUGCCUAAGGGUCUGAUUUCGACCCAGGUUCAUAACCGGUCUUCUUCGGAUAUCAACUUUCGUCUUCUUGAGGUAAUUUUUAUUAAUUUGCACUCCUAACUCC